UUCGUAGAGAUGAGACGCUAUGUACAUUUUGUAUAAUAAUUUUAUUAGAUAAAUGUAGACGACGUAAAUAAAAAAAAAUUGCAAAAAUAUUUUCAAUUUUGCCCUUUAACAGUGAUAUUGAAAUAUAUUUAAAAAUAUUUGUAGAGAUGAUGUAGUUAUGUGUUGUCAAAUUGUAUACCUACUUAUUAUGCGGUGCCGAAGAAUAUAAUUGAAAAAUAAGACUUGUGAAAAAUAAUCGAAUUGAUUCCUUAAUAUUUUCACCGCAAACAUUAAUAAUCAUGGUUCAGACAAUAUUUGGACUAUGGGACUACGUAAUAAUGACGGCUACUAUGGUAGCAUCUGUCGCUAUUGGUUUGUAUUUCAGAUUCAGUGGUGGAAAACAAAAAACAAAUGACGAAUACCUUUUAGCAGAUCGCAACAUGUCAAUAUUCCCAGUAGCUGUGUCACUGAUGGCUUCGUUCAUGUCUGCUAUCACGUUGCUUGGAGUAUCAGCUGAAAAUUACUACUACGGCAUGCAAUUCGUAGUCAUCAACUUCUCAUACGGCAUUGCUACUCCUAUAGCCUCUAAAUUAUAUUUACCAGUAUUUUUUGGACUACAGAAGACUAGUACUUACGAAUAUUUAGAAUUACGCUUCGGUCCCCAAAUAAGAAUGUUGGCGUCGUUAACUUAUACUCUACAAAUGAUUUUGUACAAUGGGAUAGUUCUAUAUGCACCUGCAAUCGUUUUGGAAUCAGUGACGGGGCUUGACAGAUUAGUGUCUAUUCUAGUGGUGGGGUUAGCUUGUACUUUUUAUUCCACGCUAGGAGGAAUGAAGGCUGUACUAUUCACUGAUUUGUUACAAUCAUUUCUAAUGUUUGGUGCAGUGUUCAGUGUUGUUAUAUUUGCAUCAAUACAACUUGGUGGUUUUGAACAAAUUUUCAUUAGAUCUCAUGAAGGUGGCAGAUUAGACUUCUCGAAUUUCAGUGUAGACCCAACAGAAAGACAUACAUGGUUUUCUUUGAUUAUUGGUGGCUGUAUCACAUACCUUUCUCUGUAUGCUGUCAAUCACACUCAGGUUCAACGUCUACUCACAGUGAGCACGUUACAGCGUUCACAGCAGUGUCUAUGGUGGAGUUGGCCUGUUCUUUCUGUGCUCAGUAUUAUUACGUGUAUCAGUGGAUUGAGCAUUUAUGCUGUAUACAAAGACUGUGAUCCGCUAGUCAGCAAAAACAUUGGAUCAAUUGAUCAGCUGAUGCCAUAUUAUGUGGUCGACGCGAUGAAGUCUGUACCGGGAUUGGCUGGUUUGUUUGUGGCGGGAAUAUUCAGCGCUUCUCUGUCUACUAUUUCCGCGGCCUGUAAUGCGCUAGCGGCAGUGACACUCACAGAUUAUGUAAGCAGGUGGUUCAAAGUGAAUCCUUCUUAUAUACCUUGGCUAACAAAGUUGGCGGCGUGCGGUUUCGGCCUCGUGUUCCUUGCGCUGGCGUUCGUCGCCGAGCACUUAGGCGGAGUAUUGCAAGCUGCUCUGACGAUAUUCGGCGCUGUAGGUGGCCCUCUGCUUGGUAUAUUCACUUUGGGAAUGUUUACUACUUACGCGAAUGAACGGGGUGUAUCAGUCGCUCUUCUCAGCGGAAUGGCAAUAACACUUUGGAUAAGUUUCGGAGGUCCUCGUCCAUCGCCGGUCAAAUUGCCGGUCAGUGUAGAAGGUUGUCUGUUCAAUGUCACACUACCUGAUCCAGUUCCAACUCAACCGAGCGACUAUUUCUACUUAUACAGGAUAUCAUACAUGUGGACAAGUCCGAUCGGGUUCGUUUGGGUGUUAAUUGUGGGAUCAAUUAUAUCCCUUGCUUGGAAACAGCAGCAGCCAUGGCAGAAGGCGGGUCGGAAGCACCCCGACCCAGCGCUCUUCACUCCCCCACUCGCACGCAGACUGAGGGCAAAAAAUGAAAAGUCCAGUGCACAGAUGGACACCAUCAUUCCGCACUGAAUGCACACGCUUCCUUAUGGAUUUUUUUAUACUUGCCAAAUUCUAUUAAGUGCGAAUUGCUGAAGCAAGAUUUACAACACUAAUGUUCCUGUUUUUUAUUGAAUUGAAUUUAUAUUAAAAUCGAUGGGUAUCGUUACUAUAUGGAAGAUGGCGGGCGAAAUAUUUUAAGAAGAUUAUAAUUAAAUACUUCAUUUAAAAUUUUAUUUUUUCUUUAUUCACGUUAAGCUAUUAAUUAUACAAGUAACAAUUAAUGUUCCGCUAAUACAGUAGAUCAAAUUUUUACUUGUAUUUGUUUUAAUCAUAGUUAAAUUUAGAAUAUUUUCUUUCAAACCUAAAUUGUGGUCUCUUUAUAGAGGAAACGUACCAAAAUGUAUGGAAAUAAAAUUAGUCAUUCAAUAUGUCAUAUGAUCACCUAUUGAGUAAUAGAAAAUUACGUAGCAAUAAUUAUUUAUUUUUUAGGUCUGCGGCUUAUCGAACAACAAUCAAUGAAUGUUUACAAAAGUGAACUUAGAUAUUGAUUUUUUUUUAUUUGAUUGGCUAAUCUCAUAAACAAAAAUUUACAUUUAUGCAUUUUUGAUGGACAAUUAUCAAUAACUACUGCUAUAAGGCAAUCAAAAACUAAGCCUACCCAAAAUACUUUUUUUUUGCGACGUCGUUAACUCAUAUACUAUAAUUAGGUAUGGUAAUUUAACUAUAGCUUUCAAUAUUAUUUUAUUUAUAGGUUUAUAAAGAGCUUAAUUAUAAAACAACAUUCCUUGAAUAGUCAUUCAAAUAGAUAAUUUUGAACCAAAAACAGGAAAUUUACUACAGAAUACGUGUACAUAUCAAGCCCGGGCACCAAUAAAGCACAACUGAAUUUUCAAAUUCUCAAUUGUGUUUGUAUCGUGCUCGUCGGUGAAAUUAACAUCGUCGAGAUACCAGCACACGGGGCAUGAUAGAAGCACCUAACCUUUUCCUCAAGAGAAGAGGGAGCCUAGCGACAUUUAUAGGCACAAAAAUACGUCCAAAGAAUUUAUAUAAUGUUAUAUUGAAUUAAAUGAUUAUGAAAUAGGAGUUUUUUCGAAAUUAUAGCUUUUUACCAUAUCGUUACGUGGUUUGUUGUAUACAAUAAAUACCGAUCUGCAUAAAGCGGAAAAACACUAAGAUAACAUAAGUAGAAUACUUACGAGUUCAACUGCACUGGUCUAACGACGGUACUUGACCAGGCUUUGCGUAUUCAAUUAGCGAUAUCGCGUUGUUUCAAGCUACGCCAAGUGUAGUGCCCACAAUACCUGUGUAACGUUCAUCUCAAACAUUGAGAUACUUAUCUCCACUGCCAUAAGAGGCGCGAAUUUGAAUUAGGAACCUAUUCGUGACUGUGGCUGCGGGCGCAAUGCUGACACAUUACGGUUCUAAAAUAUUUUACAGCCCCAAUAAAUUAUUAUACUCUUAUAAAUAUAGAUAUAAAAAAAAAUGUUUUUAAUAACUUGUGAUAGCACAAUCUCUUCCAAAAAUGCCUUAAAAAUAAACAAAUAGCUACAUAGGUUUAAAGUAAAUUCCAGCUUAGGGUAAUAAAACUUAUUUUAUGUAUGUAUAGUAUUUAUUUUAUUGUACUGCAGAUACUUUCAAGUACUUAAUAUUUAUGACAAGCGUAUGUGAAUAAUAUUUCCAUUGAUUGCAAUUAUAAUUAAUUGAUAUAAAUAAUUUAAAAUAAUAUAAAUAUUAUUUUUGAAUUAGAUUUUAAACCUACAAUAAAGCCAAAUCUUUAUUCUAUUGCGUAACACAAAAGAACACGAAUAUAGUUUUAAAAUUUUAAUGUCCUCACUUAUAAACGUUGCUUAGCGUGUUAGGUAAACAAAGUUUCGCUCUUUCUGCCAUAAUUAAUUUGACAUUCGAAAGAAAACACAGCAUUGUCUAACUUAUCAACCGCUGAGCGACGUUUUUAAGUAAGAUGUUUUAAUCGAAUAUUAUUUUUUAAUGUUUAUUUUUUUUGUUAUAUGUUAUUUAGUAAUUAUAUUACUGUAAUUUUAUCUUGUAACCUGUCAGCUUAAUAUAAAUUUUUAUUUGUGACAUGUAAAAUAUCUAAAGCAGAAAUUAAUGAAAUGGAAAUUCAUAUGAACGUGUACGAGCGAGAAUCUUGUAAUUCAGCUGUACUAAGAAAUAAAAAUUUCCACAGCUGGUAAAGGUGACUAGUAUUAAAAUUAUUAAGGUAACGUGUUAUAUAAUGUUAUUUAAUGAGUAUAUUAACAAUAAAGUAUUAUAUUGUAUAAGAAAUGAAUACUUGUUUAGUGUGAGUCAUAAGAAUAGACAAUAGACAUAUAUAGAAAUAUUAUAUAAUUAUACAAUCGUGUUUGGCUGUGUACUAUGUAUCUGUGUUUUAAUAGUGCUUGUAUAAUAAUAUGUGAAGUGUAAAGGCGACAUUUUACUUAGCGUGCUUGCGUAGCGAUAUCAUUUGAUAUGUAUGGUAUGGUAGUGAAUGACAUAUGGAUCAACACGCAUAUAUUAUUUGUUUAAUUUUCCAAAUUCGUUCAAAUGAAGAAAAUAUAAUUAUAUUGGUUCUCAACAUACAUACAUAUGUUGCGUUCGGACCAAAUUAAUGCUAAUUCGUAAUCACGCUAGGUCUCGUGUGUCAAACAUGAUGUAUAAUUGUAUAAUUUUUUUUAAAAAUAUUCUGUUAAAGAUUACAAUGAAGAGACUAUAUUUAAUUCAAGUCCUUUAUAGUUUUAUUGUACUUACAAUUUGUGACUUAAGUAAUAAAAAGAAAUUUGAAUAUGGUAAGGUUUAUUUAUGAUGAAAUUGGCUUAUUUUAAACGAAUACAUUUUUAAAUAUUUA